GCUUGUCUCAAAGAUUAAGCCAUGCAUGUCUAAGUAUAAGCUUUUAUACGGUGAAACUGCGAAUGGCUCAUUAAAACAGUUAUAGUUUAUUUGAUGGUCGCUCACUACAUGGAUAACCGUGGUAAUUCUAGAGCUAAUACAUGCGCAAAGACCUGACUUUUGGGAAGGGUUGUGUUUAUUAGAUACAAAACCAACAUCUCGUUGGUGAUUCAUAAUAACCAAGCGAAUCGUCGGUUUACCGACGAUAGAUCGUUCAAGUUUCUGACCUAUCAGCUUUGGUCGGUAGGGUAUUGG
rnacentral:rRNA from 1 species